rnacentral:rRNA from 1 species
AUUGAACGCUGGCGGCAUGCUUUACACAUGCAAGUCGAACGGCAGCGCGGGCUUCGGCCUGGCGGCGAGUGGCGAACGGGUGAGUAAUGCAUUGGAACGUGCCCAGUAGUGGGGGAUAGCCCGGCGAAAGCCAGAUUAAUACCGCAUACGACCUGAGGGUGAAAGCGGGGGACCGAAAGGCCUCGCGCUAUUGGAGCGGCCGAUGUCGGAUUAGCUAGUUGGUGGGGUAAAGGCUUACCAAGGCGACGAUCCGUAGCUGGUCUGAGAGGACGACCAGCCACACUGGGACUGAGACACGGCCCAGACUCCUACGGGAGGCAGCAGUGGGGAAUUUUGGACAAUGGGGGCAACCCUGAUCCAGCCAUGCCGCGUGCGGGAAGAAGGCCUUCGGGUUGUAAACCGCUUUUGUUCGGGAAGAAAUCCUCUGGGCUAAUACCCCGGGGGGAUGACGGUACCGGAAGAAUAAGCACCGGCUAACUACGUG